GCCCUUUUCAUCUACGCCUGGAUCGGCUAAGUGAGGCGUGUUCCUCACGGAACUAUGGCGAUAAACGCACAUGUAAUAAACGGACCGGACCCGGGGGCGGUACCCGGCGGCUCCACCAGGAUCAUGGGGCCGAAACAGUAUCGACGGACGCGUAAAGAUGCUUGCUUUCGCUCGGCGGACUGCCACCGUUAUCGGCGUAAACAGUACAAUUGCAAACGACAAUCGUGCUCCGGUUGCUCUCGCUGCUUGAUGCAGCGCGGUUAACCGAAAUCUUUAGACCAGGUCUCAGCAAGACCUGGCGGGGUCUGCAGGCACCUGGCAACAGAAGCCUGCACU
rnacentral:tmRNA from 1 species